UGGGGAAUAUUGCACAAUGGGCGAAAGCCUGAUGCAGCAACGCCGCGUGAGUGAUGAAGGCCUUCGGGUUGUAAAGCUCUGUCUUCUGGGACGAUAAUGACGGUACCAGAGGAGGAAGCCACGGCUAACUACGUGCCAGCAGCCGCGGUAAUACGUAGGUGGCAAGCGUUGUCCGGAUUUACUGGGCGUAAAGGAUGCGUAGGCGGAUACGUAAGUCAGAUGUGAAAAUCCCGGGCUUAACUUGGGAACUGCAUUUGAAACUGGGUAACUAGAGUGCGGGAUAGGAAAGUGGAAUUCCUAGUGUAGCGGUGAGAUGCGUAGAGAUUAGGAAGAACACCAGUGGCGAAGGCGACUUUCUGGACCGUAACUGACGCUGAGGCACGAAAGCGUGGGGAGCAAACA
rnacentral:rRNA from 1 species